GAUAGCUCCACAAUGCUAGAAACUGAAGCAACAAUUCCAUUUGGUUAAGAUAGUCACUAUAGUAGUAACUUCUUCAUUCUUCUUUUUGGAUUCAUCAAAAUGGCUAGUAUGAGCAUCGUUUUACUUCUUUGGUUUGUCAGAAGACAAAAUUUUUUCCAAGACUCCUGUCUCUCAACACUGUGAUAUACGGUUAUCAAUUUCAAGCUGGAUUCCAUUAGUAAAUGGCGGAAAGUAUUUCUGAUGAAGAGAUAAAGCUGCAUUUAUUUAAACACUGGUGGCGUACCUUUAUGAUUAAAUUGAACUGUGAAGUAAGGAGCAUAUCAUCUCAAUCAGCUACUCCCUCUGUUGACAGCCAGAGUGAUGAAGGGCUUAGAUUGCUGAUUUCUACACUUCUGUGUAGAAAAAUUACACAAAACUUAGGGUCUGAAAGAAAAACUUUCCUGUUUCGAAUAUUUUGCAUUUAGGGUGAGGCAUAAGGCUUUUGAAAUUUUUGGACCACUCUUGGAACA
rnacentral:lncRNA from 1 species